rnacentral:misc_RNA from 1 species
GAUGAAGAACGCAGCGAAAUGCGAUACGUAAUGUGAAUUGCAGAAUUCAGUGAAUCAUCGAAUCUUUGAACGCAUAUUGCGCUCUCUGGUAUUCCGGAGAGCAUGCUUGAUUGAGUAUCAGUAAACACCUCAACUCCCUUUUCUUUUUUGAAAUUGGAGUUGGACUUGAGUGAUCCCAACGCUUUCUUCCAAGAAAGUGGCGGGUUGCUUGAAAUGCAGGUGCAGCUGAACUUUUCUCUGAGCUAUAAGCAUAUCUAUUUAGUCUGCCUAAAAAAUAGAUUAUUACCUUUGCUGCAGCUAACGUAAAGGAGACUAGUUCUUGUGCUGACUGAUGCAGGAUUCUCAGAGACAGCUUCGGCUGACUUUGUAAACUCGAUCUCAAAUCAAGUAAGACUACCCGCUGAACUUAAGCAUAUCAAUAAGCGGAGGA